rnacentral:lncRNA from 1 species
UAGUACUACUUCCAUGAAGCCUUUUCUAAAAUGUUCCCCUCUCUAAGAAGUUCCUUCCUCUGUGCUCUCCUAUGGUUUUUAUUUUAAAACAGUAUCUCCAUCAUUAAACCAAAGAUCAUGUAUUUUUAACAUUUUGACUAUUCCCAUUAUUUUAAGCAGUCUGAGAAGUGAUCAGAUCCUUCUGUCACCUAGCAUGAUACCUGAGUUCCAACUCAGUUUAUAGAUUAAAUAAAUAAAAGAUGAAAAGAACUGGGUAGAGCUGAGUGAGUGUAUACGAAGGCACAGGUAAAUUUUGCUUAGAUUCUUUAUGGUUGGGCAGACUUACUAUUUAACCAUGAAAACCUAAAAAUCACACAUUGUAAGUUCACACUAUUUAAGAAUUAAAAGCAGUAACACAAGGAGAAAGUUAAGAAAGAACAUCUUUGCAAAUCUUUUCCAUUCACUUCUUACAUCUAGCAGAUAUUUUUUCUUUGAAAACAGCCUACAAUUCGUAUCAUCAAAUGUACAAUGAAUCAAUACAUUACUGAAAGAUAAUUCAGAGGAGGAGAAAGGUGGGUAUAAAAAUUGCAGUUCACAGUAAAGAUGGCUUAAGAUACCUAGUGGUAAAAAUAAGUAGAAAAUUCAAGCACACAUCUAAAUAAAAUGGAGAAAUGGCUGACAAGGGAAG